rnacentral:rRNA from 1 species
GGAAUCUUGGACAAUGGGGGAAACCCUGAUCCAGCCAUGCCGCGUGAGUGAUGAAGGCCUUAGGGUUGUAAAACUCUUUCGGCGGGGACGAUAAUGACGGUACCCGCAGAAGAAGCUCCGGCUAACUUCGUGCCAGCAGCCGCGGUAAUACGAAGGGGGCUAGCGUUGUUCGGAAUUACUGGGCGUAAAGCGCGCGCAGGCGGCCAUACAAGUCAGGGGUGAAAGCCCGGAGCUCAACUCCGGAAUUGCCUUUGAAACUGUUUGGCUUGAGUACGGGAGAGGUGAGUGGAAUUCCCAGUGUAGAGGUGAAAUUCGUAGAUAUUGGGAAGAACACCGGUGGCGAAGGCGGCUCACUGGCCCGUUUCUGACGCUCAAGCGCGACAGCGUGGGGAUCAAACA